GUGAGGAAUAUUGGUCAAUGGGCGGGAGCCUGAACCAGCCAAGUCGCGUGAAGGAAGAAGGAUCUAUGGUUCGUAAACUUCUUUUGUAGGGGAAUAAAGUGCGGGACGUGUCCUGUUUUGUAUGUACCCUGAGAAUAAGGAUCGGCUAACUCCGUGCCAGCAGCCGCGGUAAUACGGAGGAUCCGAGCGUUAUCCGGAUUUAUUGGGUUUAAAGGGUGCGUAGGUGGUUUGAUAAGUCAGCGGUGAAAGUUUGCAGCUUAACUGUAAAAAUGCCGUUGAAACUGUCGGACUUGAGUGUAAAUGAGGUAGGCGGAAUGCGUGGUGUAGCGGUGAAAUGCAUAGAUAUCACGCAGAACUCCGAUUGCGAAGGCAGCUUACUAAGCUACAACUGACACUGAAGCACGAAAGCGUGGGGAUCAAACAGGAUUAGAAACCCUGGUAGUCC
rnacentral:rRNA from 1 species